GAGGACCGUAUUCAUGGAAGAUGAUUGAACAGGCUACUGAGUUCUUAAGAGAAGAAUGGCAUUUAAAAAAUUGAUGGUGAUACCAAAGGAAGGUUACUUAUUACACUUGGACUUUGAUGAUGAGGAUGAUGACAUAAAAGUUUCAGAGGAGGCUCUUUUUGAAGAGAUGAAGUAGACAGUAUGUUGGAUAAAUCUGGAGUAAAGAACCUAGCAAUUGGUAAAGAUGAGAAUAUAUCGCCUCAAGUAAAAGAAGAUGAAGACAUAGGACAUGAAGUAGGCAGUAUGUUGGAUAAAUCUGGAGGUCUUUUCUCCUGAGAACAAGGGAUUCCAGCAUCUUCGGAUUCUGUUCUUGGAGGUGUGAGUCCCUGCCUCUCUGCACAGGGGAACUUAUGUCUCUCCACAUGUCCACAAAUGUCUACCCAAGAUUCUACAUCUUCCAAAGGCUUUCAAAUACUUCUUUACAUAAACAAGCUGCAUCAUUGGACUGAAGGUGAAUGGCCCAUGUGUUGCCACUGAUGUGAGCAAUUUGCCUGUUGUGCUUCA
rnacentral:lncRNA from 1 species